UACGUAGGGACCAAGCGUUGUUCGGAUUUACUGGGCGUAAAGGGCGCGUAGGCGGCGCGGUAAGUCACUUGUGAAAUCUCUGAGCUUAACUCAGAACGGCCAAGUGAUACUGCAGUGCUAGAGUGUGGAAGGGGCAAUCGGAAUUCUUGGUGUAGCGGUGAAAUGCGUAGAUAUCAAGAGGAACACCUGAGGUGAAGACGGGUUGCUGGGCCAACACUGACGCUGAUGUGCGAAAUCCAGGGGAGCAAACGGG
rnacentral:rRNA from 1 species